UACAGAGGUCCCGAGCGUUGUUCGGAUUCAUUGGGCGUAAAGGGUGCGUAGGCGGCGGGGUAAGUUUGAUGUGAAAUUCCGGGGCUCAACCCUGGCAUGGCAUUGAAUACUACCUUGCUAGAGUACCGGAGAGGAAACUGGAAUUUACGGUGUAGCAGUGAAAUGCGUAGAGAUCGUAAGGAAGACCAGUGGCGAAGGCGAGUUUCUGGACGGUAACUGACGCUGAGGCACGAAAGGCCCAGGGGGAGCAAAACGGGGG
rnacentral:rRNA from 1 species